GCUCCCACAUCGGUUGUGGACGUGUGUGUGUGGGUUUACAAGCAUUGUCAAGGCUCCUCUUAGUCAGCAAUUAUCUGAGAGUAAGUGUUGAUGCAGUAAGUCUUAUGUUCCUGCGUGUGCGUGUGUCUUACCAAAGAAAAAGCUAACAUCCAAUGCGUGGGUUUAUUUCUUUCAUGAUAACAGUUACUUAAUCAGUGUUUGUUUCCUUUCCAGAAUGCCGAUCUUGCAGCAGCCACAUUGUGACAAUUAUAGCUCCACUUGCAAUUAAACAUAUUGGAGAGUGCUACUCA
rnacentral:misc_RNA from 1 species